ACCCAGACUCCUACGGGAGGCAGCAGUGGGGAAUAUUGCACAAUGGGGGAAACCCUGAUGCAGCGACGCCGCGUGAGCGAUGAAGUAUUUCGGUAUGUAAAGCUCUAUCAGCAGGGAAGAAGAUGACGGUACCUGACUAAGAAGCCCCGGCUAACUACGUGCCAGCAGCCGCGGUAAUACGUAGGGGGCAAGCGUUAUCCGGAUUUACUGGGUGUAAAGGGAGCGUAGACGGCGAUGCAAGCCAGAUGUGAAAGCCCGGGGCUCAACCCCGGGACUGCAUUUGGAACUGUGUGGCUGGAGUGUCGGAGAGGCAGGCGGAAUUCCUAGUGUAGCGGUGAAAUGCGUAGAUAUUAGGAGGAACACCAGUGGCGAAGGCGGCCUGCUGGACGAUGACUGACGUUGAGGCUCGAAAGCGUGGGGAGCAAACAGGAUUAGAUACCCCCGUAACA
rnacentral:rRNA from 1 species